AUUUCUGAUUAGUUUGUCUUAACUGCCGCACAUUGUCGAAAGAAGUAGAGUGUAUCGUUUAAAUACACUCUUAUAGUCUAAAAGACAAAACUGAAUUUAAAAUCAAAUAUGUUAAAUAUAUUUGAUUUUAACAGUUCAGAGACUCUGACAGUUGUGGUUGGUGCACACGACCUAAAAAAUAAGACUGAAGGUUCUUUCUGCAUCAGAGUGAAGUCCUACCACCAGCAUCCAGACUUUACUGAGGAACCUGUCAUGAAUGACAUGAUGCUUUUGAAGCUUCUGCGAUCAUAAAGGAUGACGGACCGCUGCUGAAUCCCAUGAUCGACCAAUCAGAAUCAAGUAUUGCAAAGCACUGUCAUAGCUAAAUUACUGUCAUUGUAAAAUAUUUUCCUUUUUAAUGUAAAUAUAAAUGAUUUAUACAAAUGAUUGAUUUCUAAAGAUUUACAAAUGUAAAUGUUUUUAUUUGCAUACUGUGCAUACAUCUAUAUUGUACUUUUCAGUGUAGGCUUUCUAAUUGUGGAAAAAUGUAUUCACAGUGGAUCAAAAAAAAAAAAACAACAAAAAAAAACAGGCAUACUUAAAUCUCAACUUAAGGGAAAUUACGUAAAACAGCUAGAGAAAAAAGUCACACAAAAAAGUUAACUGGAUAUCUAUACCAAUAAAAGAAGAGGAGACUGAAGUGCA
ensembl:lncRNA